rnacentral:siRNA from 1 species
UAAAGGGUCUAAUUUUUGGCCUA